rnacentral:SRP_RNA from 1 species
GCUGGGCUUGGUAACGCGAGCCUGUAACCCAAGUCAAGUGGGAGCAUUAAGAUGGUUGAAUGAUGAUUGGAUUUACCUUGAAAGCUGGGCUUGGGGUGCUAUUUACCGGCCUGCCCUUUCCAAGUGGUGAGUUGGGUUGUGGAGUCUUUGCGAAGGCGUAGGCUUGUCGGCUCUUAGACCGGGAGGGUAUUGCGUCAGGCUGGUUUCACAGAGCAGCGAACACCUCCUCCUCUCUGCAGUGGAAGGAUAACAGGUCGGAGCUUCUUCAGUCCACUAGAGCCUGAUGGGUUGCCCAAUUGAACCACCAUCUUU